rnacentral:rRNA from 1 species
GACGAACGCUGGCGGCGUGCUUAACACAUGCAAGUCGUACGGUAAGGCCCUUUCGGGGGUACACGAGUGGCGAACGGGUGAGUAACACGUGAGUAACCUGCCCACAACUUUGGGAUAACGCUAGGAAACUGGUGCUAAUACUGGAUAUGUGCUCCUGCUGCAUGGUGGGGGUUGGAAAGCUCCGGCGGUUGUGGAUGGACUCGCGGCCUAUCAGCUUGUUGGUGGGGUAGUGGCCUACCAAGGCGGCGACGGGUAGCCGGCCUGAGAGGGUGACCGGCCACAUUGGGACUGAGAUACGGCCCAGACGCCUACGGGAGGCAGCAGGGGGGAAUAUUGCACAAUGGGCGCAAGCCGGGUGCAGCAACGCCGCGUGCGGGAUGACGGCCUUCGGGUUGUAAACCGCUUUCAGCAGGGACGAAGCUUUUUGUGACGGUACCUGCAGAAGAAGCACCGGCUAACUACGUG